rnacentral:rRNA from 1 species
GAACGCUAGCGGCAGGCCUAACACAUGCAAGUCGAGCGGUAACAGGAAUUAGCUUGCUAAUUCGCUGACGAGCGGCGGACGGGUGAGUAAUGCCUGGGAAUAUGCCUUAGUGUGGGGGAUAACUAUUGGAAACGAUAGCUAAUACCGCAUAACGUCUUCGGACCAAAGAGGGGGACCUUCGGGCCUCUCGCGCUAAGAUUAGCCCAGGUGGGAUUAGCUAGUUGGUGAGGUAAAGGCUCACCAAGGCAACGAUCCCUAGCUGGUCUGAGAGGAUGAUCAGCCACACUGGAACUGAGACACGGUCCAGACUCCUACGGGAGGCAGCAGUGGGGAAUAUUGCACAAUGGGGGAAACCCUGAUGCAGCCAUGCCGCGUGUAUGAAGAAGGCCUUCGGGUUGUAAAGUACUUUCAGUCGUGAGGAAGGCAUUGUAGUUAAUAGCUGCAGUGCUUGACGUUAGCGACAGAAGAAGCACCGGCUAACUCCGUG